UUGACAGCCCCGGAGACUGAGAAUUUGUGUUUCUACACAUGAGGAAUGACAAGCACAGAAGCUUCCCUGCAGUUUUGCCAAUGAGACUUGAUGCUGUUUUGGAAGAUCAGGGGCGAAGGAGGAGAGUUCUGACUCUAUGCCCUAUCAAUCAAUAGCCUCU